rnacentral:lncRNA from 1 species
UUAUACAGAUAUUACACUAUUUUGAAAAGCUUGUUGCACUAUUUGAGAGGAUGUUGCACUCUUUCAUCUUAUUAAUUAUUCUUUAUUCUUUUUAUUUUUUCUUGAAUGAGGUUUCUCGUUUCACGAGAAAGGAACAUGUAAUUAUGGCUUAGCAGUUGUCAUUUCCAAGAAGUUUGACGUUUUAUUUAAUAUGCAACGAAAUUUAAUUUUCAAAAAGAAAGAGUGCAACACACAUCUAAAUAGUGCAACAUCAUCUCAUAAUAGUGCAACAUUUACACAAAUUGUAUAAAUAUCUGUAUAAAUAGUAUAAAAUAUGCACUGUUUGUACAUAUAUUGUAUAAUUUUUAUAAUAUAUUGUAAUAUAUUAUAUUAUUUUUGCGUAAUAUACUAAACUGUACGUAAUUUAGCAUAAAAGUCAUGCAAAAUGUGUAUUAACAAUGCAUAUGUUGCACUACUUAUACAGAUAUUGCACUAUUUUGAAGAGCUUGUUGCACUAUUUGAGAGGAUGUUGCACUCUUUCAUUUUACUAAUUAUUCUUUAUUCUUUUUAUUUUCUCUUGAAUGAGAUUUCUUGUUUCACGAGAAAGGUACAUGCAUGUAAUUAUGGCUUAGCAGUUGUCAUUUCCAAGAAAUUUUACACUUUAUUUAAUAUGGAAUGAAAUUUAAUUUUCAAAAAGAAAGAGUGUAACACACAUCUAAAUGGUGCAAUAUCCUCUCAUAAUAGUGUAACAUUUACACAAAUUGUGUAAAUAUCUGUACAAAUAGUGUAAAAUAUGCACCGUUUAUACAUAUAUUGUAUAAUUUUUAUAGUAUGUUGUAAUAUUAUAUAUUAUUUUUUCGUAAUAUACUAAAUUAUGCGUAAUUUAGUGUAAAAAUUAUGCAAAAUGUGUAUUAACAAUGCAUAUGUUGUACUAUUUAUACAAAUAUUGUACUAUUUUGGAGAGUUUGUUGCACUAUUUGAGAGGAUGUUGCAUUCUUUCGUCUUAUUAAUUAUUCCUUUUUUUUUAUUUUCUCUUGAAUGAGGUUUUUCGUUUCACGAGAAAGGUACAUGUAAUUAUGACUUAGUAGUUGUCAUUUCAAGAAGUUUUACACUUAGUGACUUAACAGUUGUAUUUUCUAGGCAUUUAAAGCAUAUAAUUUUUAUGCAUUUUGACAGAAGGGUAGUUUGGUCAUCCUUUUAAAAAUUCGGUCCGAAUUUGCAAAAACUAAAAAGGUGGCCCACUUUUGCAAAAGCGCAAAAGUAGUGGAUUUUUUAUGCAAAUUGGCCAUUUAUUUUUUUAAAUAAAUUUAACUGAAAAUAUAAAUUAAUUAUAAUUUGAAUUUAAAAUCUUGAAUAUCAAUUACCAAAUCUUUUGAAA